AUACGUAGGGGGCGAGCGUUGUCCGGAAUGAUUGGGCGUAAAGGGCGCGUAGGCGGCGCGGUAAGUCUGGAGUGAAAGUCCUGCUUUCAAGGUGGGAAUUGCUUUGGAUACUGAUGGGCUUGAGUGCAGGAGAGGUUAUCGGAAUUCCCGGUGUAGCGGUGAAAUGCGUAGAGAUCGGGAGGAACACCAGUGGCGAAGGCGGGUAACUGGACUGCAACUGACGCUGAGGCGCGAAAGUGUGGGGAGCAAACAGGAUUAGAUACCCUGGUAGUCCACACUGUAAACGAUGAAUGCUAGGUGUAAGAGGUAUCGACCCCUUUUGUGCCGGAGUUAACACAAUAAGCAUUCCGCCUGGGGAGUACGGCCGCAAGGUUGAAACUCAAAGGAAUUGACGGGG
rnacentral:rRNA from 1 species